rnacentral:rRNA from 1 species
UAAGCGGAGGAAAAGAAACUAACUAGGAUUCCCUUAGUAACGGCGAGUGAACCGGGAUGAGCUCAAAUUUGAAAUCUGGCGUCUUUCAGGCGUCCGAGUUGUAAUCUAUAGAGGCGUUUUCCGCGCCGGACCGCGUCCAAGUCUCUUGGAAUAGAGUAUCAAAGAGGGUGACAAUCCCGUACUUGACGCGACAACCGGUGCUCUGUGAUACGUUCUCAAUGAGUCGAGUUGUUUGGGAAUGCAGCUCUAAAUGGGUGGUAAAUUCCAUCUAAGGCUAAAUAUUGGCGAGAGACCGAUAGCGAACAAGUACCGUGAGGGAAAGAUGAAAAGCACUUUGGAAAGAGAGUUAAACAGCACGUGAAAUUGUUAAAAGGGAAACGAUUGAAGUCAGUCGUGUGGGAAGUAUUCAGCCGUCUCUGGCGGUGUAUUUGCUUCUCACGGGUCAACAUCAGUUUGAUCCGGUAGAAAAAGGCGGGAAGAAGGUGGCACCCUCGGGUGUGUUAUAGCUUCCUGUCAUAUGUGCCGGACCAGACUGAGGAACGCAGCUUGCAGCAAUGCCGGGGUUCGCCCACGUACAAGCUUAGGAUGUUGACAUAAUGGCUUUAA